GAUGAACGCUGGCGGCGUGCCUAAUACAUGCAAGUCGAACGCAUUGAGAGAAGUGCUUGCACUUUUCAAUUUGAGUGGCGAACGGGUGAGUAACACGUGGGCAACCUACCUGAUAGCGGGGGAUAACGAGUGGAAACAUUCGCUAAUACCGCAUAACAAUAGAGAAGGCAUCUUCUUUAUUUAAAAGGCGCUUUCAAGCGUCACUAUCAGAUGGGCCCGCGGUGCAUUAGCUAGUUGGUGGGGUGAAGGCCUACCAAGACGAUGAUGCAUAGCCGAGUUGAAAGACUGAUCGGCCACAUUGGGACUGAGACACGGCCCAAACUCCUACGGGAGGCUGCAGUAGGGAAUCUUCCACAAUGGACGAAAGUCUGAUGGAGCAACGCCGCGUGUGUGAUGAAGGCUUUCGGGUCGUAAAGCACUGUUGUAUGGGAAGAAAUGCUAGGCUAGGAAAUGAGCUUAGUUUGACGGUACCAUACCAGAAAGGGACGGCUAAAUACGUGCCAGCCGCCGCAGUAA
rnacentral:rRNA from 1 species